AGAGUUUGAUCCUGGCUCAGGAUGAACGCUAGCGGCAGGCUUAACACAUGCAAGUCGAGGGGCAGCAUGUCCAGCAAUGGAUGAUGGCGACCGGCGGAAGGGUGCGUAACGCGUGAGCAACAUGCCCUAUACAGGGAGAUACACCAGGGAAACUUGGUCUAAUAUCCCAUAGCAUUCAUUGAAGGCAUCUUUAAUGAAUUAAAGCUUCGGUGGUAUAGGAUUGGCUCGCGUGACAUUAGCCAGAUGGUGAGGUAACGGCUCACCAUAGCAAUGAUGUCUAGGGGUUUUGAGAGGAAGGCCCCCCACACUGGGACUGAGACACGGCCCAGACUCCUACGGGAGGCAGCAGUGAGGAAUAUUGGACAAUGGAUGGAAAUCUGAUCCAGCCAUGCCGCGUGCAGGAAGACGGCCUUAUGGGUUGUAAACUGCUUUUAUACGGGAGCAAUAAGGGUUACGAGUAAUCCGAUGAGAGUACUGUAUGAAUAAGGAUCGGCUAACUCCGUGCCAGCAGCCGCGGUAAUACGGAGGAUCCGAGCGUUAUCCGGAAUUAUUGGGUUUAAAGGGUGCGUAGGCGGCCAUUUAAGUCAGCGGUGAAAUUUUGCAGCUUAACUGUAACAGUGCCGUUGAUACUGUUUGGCUAGGAUUUGGUUAUAGUGUGCGGAAUGUGUGGUGUAGCGGUGAAAUGCUUAGAUAUCACACAGAACACCGAUUGCGAAGGCAGCACACUAAGUCAUUAUUGACGCUGAGGCACGAAAGUGUGGGGAUCAAACAGGAUUAGAUACCCUGGUAGUCCACACUGUAAACGAUGAUAACUCGCUGUCGGCGAUACACAGUCGGGGCCAAGCGAAAGC
rnacentral:rRNA from 1 species